rnacentral:RNase_P_RNA from 1 species
AUGGUAGGGCAGGUGGCUGCUUGGGGUUCUCACGCCCCAAGAGGAAAGUCCGGGCUGCAAUGAAGUAAGGUUCCAUCUAACGGAUGGCCGGGGUAACCCGAGGGACAGUGCAACAGAGAGUAGACUACCGUUACAUGUAACGGAAAAGGUGAAACGGUGGGGUAAGAGCCCACCAGCGUUUUAGGUAACUAAGACGGCUUUGUAAACCCAACCUGCAGCAAGAAGGGAUGGUUUUUUGCUUCAUAUUCACAAAACCCUUCGCUAGAGCGUCUUGGCAACAUGGCGCGUAGAUAAAUAGUCACCCACGACAGAACCCGGCUUACGUCCUGCCAUAGAA